CUUCCGCCGGCGACCGGCGCACGGGUGAGUAACACGUAUGCAACCUGCCCCUGUCAGGGGACAACCCGCCGAAAGGCGGGCUAAACCCGCGUACAUGCCACCGGGGCAUCCCGGAGGCAGGAAAGGCUUCGGCCGGACAGGGAUGGGCAUGCGGCGCAUUAGGCAGUAGGCGGGGUAACGGCCCACCUAACCGACGAUGCGUAGGGGUUCUGAGAGGAAGGUCCCCCACACUGGUACUGAGACACGGACCAGACUCCUACGGGAGGCAGCAG
rnacentral:rRNA from 1 species